GAGUGCUAAAGUGUGAGAUCUCUCUUUCCGGGGUUUAUGGCGCAUCUAACGCAUUAAGCACUCCGCCUGGGGAGUACCACCGCAAGGGUGAAACUCAAAGGAAUUGACGGGGGCCCGCACAAACGGUGGAACAUGUGGUUUAAUUCCAAUCAACGCGAAAAACCUUACCCUGUCUUGACAUCGCGAUGCAAUUUCUAGAGAUAGGAAGUUACUUCUGUACAUCGGUGACAGGUGGUGCAUGGUUGUCGUCAGCUCGUGUCGUGAGAUGUUGGGUUAAGUCCCGCAACGAGCGCAACCCCUAUUGUUAGUUGCCAUCAUUUAGUUGGGCAAUCUACCGAGACUGCCGGUAAUAAACCGGAAGAAGGUGGGGAUGACGUCAAAUCAUCAUGCCCCUUAUGACCUGGGCUACACACAUGCUACAAUGGCUGGUACAACGAGUCGCGAGUCGGUGACGGGGAGCUAAUCUCUUAAAGCCAGUCUCAGUUCGGAUUGUAGGCUGCAACUCGCCUACAUGAAGUCGGAAUCGCUAGUAAUCGCGGAUCAGCACGGCGCGGUGAAUACCUUCCCGGGCCUUGUACACACCGCCCGUCACACCACGAGAGUUUGUAACACCCCAAGUCGGUGAGGUAACCAUUUGGAGCCAACCGCCUAAAGUGGGAUAUAUGAUUGGGGUGAAGUC
rnacentral:rRNA from 1 species